rnacentral:rRNA from 1 species
AUUGAACGCUGGCGGCAUGCCUUACACAUGCAAGUCGAACGGCAGCAUGGAGAGCUUGCUCUCUGAUGGCGAGUGGCGAACGGGUGAGUAAUGCAUCGGAACGUACCGUGUAAUGGGGGAUAACGUAGCGAAAGUUACGCUAAUACCGCAUACGACCUGAGGGUGAAAGCAGGGGAUCGCAAGACUUUGCGUUAUACGAGCGGCCGAUGUCAGAUUAGCUAGUUGGUGAGGUAAAGGCUGACCAAGGCGACGAUCUGGAGCGGGUCUGAGAGGAUGAUCGGCCACACUGGGACUGAGACGCGGCCCAGACUCCUACGGGAGGCAGCAGUGGGGAAUUUUGGACAAUGGGGGCAACCCUGAUCCAGCCAUGCCGCGUGAGUGAAGAAGGCCUUCGGGUAGUAAAGCUCUUUCGGCCGGGAAGAAAUCGCACAUGCUAAUACUCUGUGUGGAUGACGGUACCGGCAUAAGAAGCACCGGCUAACUACGUGCCAGCAGCCGCCGUAA